AUUGAUUGUGCUUUGGCAACUAGAUGCAGUGCUAGGCUUCACUCUGCAAGGUGUUUAAAAAGAAAAACAGGUUUACCCAGGAUUUAUCAUGUAUGGAAAAAUGUAAUCUCUAAGUAGGCUGUCUGCUAAUGUCGGGCAUAAUGUUUCUUCAUAAUGGUUAACCCUUUUUCAGGGAGUGGAAUAAUGCAAACAGUGCCUCUCUCUAGAUGGGAACUUUGCUUCAUGGGACAUUACAUAAUUAUGGAAACCAGACCCACUUCAUCAGUCAUGUAAUAGCUGAUACC
rnacentral:lncRNA from 1 species